GAUGAACGCUGGCGGCGUGCCUAAUACAUGCAAGUCGAGCGAACAGACGAGGAGCUUGCUCCUCUGACGUUAGCGGCAGACGGGUGAGUAACACGUGGAUAACCUACCUAUAAGACUGGGAUAACUUCGGGAAACCGGAGCUAAUACCGGAUAAUAUAUUGAGCCGCAUGGUUCAAUAGUGAAAGACGGUUUUGCUGUCACUUAUAGAUGGAUCCGCGCCGCAUUAGCUAGUUGGUAAGGUAACGGCUUACCAAGGCAACGAUGCGUAGCCGACCUGAGAGGGUGAUCGGCCACACUGGAACUGAGACACGGUCCAGACUCCUACGGGAGGCAGCAGUAGGGAAUCUUCCGCAAUGGGCGAAAGCCUGACGGAGCAACGCCGCGUGAGUGAUGAAGGUCUUCGGAUCGUAAAACUCUGUUAUUAGGGAAGAACAAAUGUGUAAGUAACUAUGCACGUCUUGACGGUACCUAAUCAGAAAGCCACGGCUAACUACGUG
rnacentral:rRNA from 1 species